rnacentral:rRNA from 1 species
UACGGGGGGGGCAAGCGUUGUUCGGAAUUACUGGGCGUAAAGGGCGCGUAGGCGGUUCGAUAAGUCAGCUGUGAAAACCAUGGGCUUAACUCAUGGCCUGCAGUUGAGACUGUCGGGCUGGAGUGUGGGAGAGGAGAGUGGAACUCCUGGUGUAGCGGUGAAAUGCGUAGAUAUCAGGAGGAACACCGGUGGCGAAGGCGGCUCUCUGGACCACAACUGACGCUGAGGCGCGAAAGCUAGGGGAGCAAACAGG